GCCUGGGUAGCUCAGUUAGUUAGAGCAUGGUGCUGAUGAUGCCAAGGUUGCAGGUUCGAUUCCCGUAUGGAUA
rnacentral:tRNA from 1 species